rnacentral:rRNA from 1 species
CAGCCGCAAUGGGAUUGAGAUAUGGCCCAUAUUCCUACGGGAAGCAGCAGUGAGGAAUUUUUCACAAUGGGCGAAAGCCUGAUGGAGCAAUACCACGUGAACGAUGAAGGUCUUCUGAUUGUAAAGUUCUUUUAUUUAGGAAAAAAAGCAGGAUAGGAAAUGAUUCUGCCGUGAUUGUAUUAAUUGAAUAAGUGACAGCUAACUAUGUGCCAGCAGCUGCGGUAAAACAUAGGUCACGAGCAUUAUCCGGAUUUAUUGGGCGUAAAGGAAGCGUAGGUGGAGGAGUUGAUCCAUUGUCAAAAGCAUCUGCUUAACAGGUGUCCGCGAUGGAUAUCGCUUCUCUAGAAUUAGUUAGGGGGUACUGGAAUUCAAUGUGUAGCGGUGGAAUGCGUAGAUAUAUUGAGGAACACCAGAGGCUAAGGCGAGUACCUGGGACAUAAUUGACACUGAGGCUUGAAAGCGUGGGGAGCAAAUGGGAUUAGAUACCCCAGUAGUCCACGCCGUAAACGAUGGGUAUUAGGUAUUUGGUUUAAAACUGAGUGCUGUAGCUAACGCGUUAAAUACCCCGCCUGGGUAGUAUAUAUGCAAAUAUGAAACUCAAAGAAAUUGACGGGGACCUGAACAAGUGGUGGAGCAUGUUGCUUAAUUCGAUAAUACACGCAAAACCUUACCAAGGCUUGUAAUCUACUGCGAAGCUAUAGAAAUAUAGUGGAGGUUAUCGGUAUGACAGGUGGUGCAUGGCUGUCGUCAGCUCGUGUCUUGAGAUGUUUGGUUAAGUCCCGUAACGAGCGCAACCCUACUCUCUAGUUAAUUAGUUCUAGAGUGACUGAAUCGUAAGAUAUAGGAAGGUUGGGGCCAAGUCAAGUCAUCAUGCCCCUUAUGCCUUGGGCUGCAAACGUGCUACAAUGGUAGGCACAAUGUGUUGCAAACUAGCGAUAGUGAGCUAAUCACCUAAAACCUAUCUCAGUCCGGAUAAAAGGCUGCAAUUCGCCUAUUUGAAGUUGGAAUCACUAGUAAUCCUGUGUCAGCUAUAUCAGGGUGAAUACGUUCCCAGGUCUUGUACACACCGCCCGUCAAACU